rnacentral:rRNA from 1 species
GACGAACGCUGGCGGCGUGCCUAAUACAUGCAAGUAGACGCUGAAGAGAGGAGCUUGCUCUUCUUGGAUGAGUUGCGAACGGGUGAGUUACGCGUAGGUAACCUGCCUUGUAGCGGGGGAUAACUAUUGGAAACGAUAGCUGAUACCGCUUAACAAUGGAUGACCCAUGUCAUUUAUUUGAAAGGGGCAAAUGCUCCACUACAAGAUGGACCUGCGUUGUAUUAGCUAGUAGGUGAGGUAACGGCUCACCUAGGCGACGAUACAUAGCCGACCUGAGAGGGUGAUCGGCCACACUGGGACUGAGACACGGCCCAGACUCCUACGGGAGGCAGCAGUAGGGAAUCUUCGGCAAUGGGGGCAACCCUGACCGAGCAACGCCGCGUGAGUGAAGAAGGUUUUCGGAUCGUAAAGCUCUGUUGUAAGUCAAGACAGAGUGUGAGAGUGGAAAGUGUCCACACUGAACAGGUCGAUCUCU